rnacentral:rRNA from 1 species
GACGAACGCUGGCGGCGUGCUUAACACAUGCAAGUCGAACGCUGAAGCCUAGCUUGCUGGGUGGAUGAGUGGCGAACGGGUGAGUAACACGUGAGUAACCUGCCCUCUUCUUUGGGAUAACGCCCGGAAACGGGUGCUAAUACUGGAUAUUCACUGAUCUUCGCAUGGGGGUUGGUGGAAAGGUUUUUUCUGGUGGGGGACGGGCUCGCGGCCUAUCAGCUUGUUGGUGGGGUGAUGGCCUACCAAGGCUUUGACGGGUAGCCGGCCUGAGAGGGUGACCGGUCACAUUGGGACUGAGAUACGGCCCAGACUCCUACGGGAGGCAGCAGUGGGGAAUAUUGCACAAUGGGCGAAAGCCUGAUGCAGCGACGCCGCGUGAGGGAUGGAGGCCUUCGGGUUGUAAACCUCUUUCGCUCAUGGUCAAGCCGCAGCUUUGGGUUGUGGUGAGGGUAGUGGGUAAAGAAGCGCCGGCUAACUACGUGCCAGCAGCCGCGGUAAUACGUAGGGCGCGAGCGUUGUCCGGAAUUAUUGGGCGUAAAGGGCUUGUAGGCGGUUGGUCGCGUCUGCCGUGAAAUCCUCUGGCUUAACUGGGGGCGUGCGGUGGGUACGGGCUGACUUGAGUGCGGUAGGGGAGACUGGAACUCCUGGUGUAGCGGUGGAAUGCGCAGAUAUCAGGAAGAACACCGGUGGCGAAGGCGGGUCUCUGGGCCGUUACUGACGCUGAGGAGCGAAAGCGUGGGGAGCGAACAGG